rnacentral:rRNA from 1 species
GACGAACGCUGGCGGCGUGCUUAACACAUGCAAGUCGAACGGAAAGGCCCUGCUUUUGUGGGGUGCUCGAGUGGCGAACGGGUGAGUAACACGUGAGUAACCUGCCCUUGACUUUGGGAUAACUUCAGGAAACUGGGGCUAAUACCGGAUAGGAGCUCCUGCUGCAUGGUGGGGGUUGGAAAGUUUCGGCGGUUGGGGAUGGACUCGCGGCGUAUCAGCUUGUUGGUGGGGUAGUGGCUUACCAAGGCUUUGACGGGUAGCCGGCCUGCGAGGGUGACCGGCCACAUUGGGACUGAGAUACGGCCCAGACUCCUACGGGAGGCAGCAGUGGGGAAUAUUGCACAAUGGGCGGAAGCCUGAUGCAGCAACGCCGCGUGCGGGAUGACGGCCUUCGGGUUGUAAACCGCUUUCGCCUGUGACGAAGCGUGAGUGACGGUAAUGGGUAAAGAAGCACCGGCUAACUACGUG